UAAGCAAAUCUUUAAAAGCAGCACCUUAAAUGUCAUGCUGGUCAUUAUAUCAGCAUCCUUACAUAUUAUAUACAGCACUCAUUAGAAAAUAUUAAAUUAUUCGAUGGAAGUUCCAAAUCUAUUUCUAUAUUCUCUAAUCUAACCAUCCAAACCCAUCAACAGCAUUGACCAAAUAAACAUCUCAAGUGGCUAUAAUGUUUUACCUCACAUAAAGAACACAUGGUAUGCAGAAAAAACUCGAACACCUUAAACAUUUGUAACAGAAGGUAGGGUUUGGUCCCAAUCUAUGAAGAAAUCAAUGAUUAGACAAUGUAUAUGCAUGGCUAACAUCAUGUAUAUGUGAAGCCCCAAGUAAAGAUCCAGUUAUAAUAAGUACAUAUAGACAAAGGGACCCCCGAAGUGGUAAAUCCAGAAAGUCCACUUUUCGACAUGGCCUGAAAGAAGACCUUAAAAGCUAGUGCGAAAUACAGGCGGCCUAAGUUCUAGAGAAUACACCUCCCCCAGAGCCUCACACAUGCACACACUUUAUUUUUCAGAUCUCCACAAAAAACCAAAAGCUAAAAGGAAGGCAGCCCGCGAUCGGCACAAACACACAUGGACCCCACAGACAUGAAUCGACUUCCAAGCCCCCAUGGUGCCUUGGGCUUUUCCAACUAGUAAAUAGCUAUAAAGGGAAUAAAACCAGUAUUCUUUUUAUUUAUUUUUUUGCGAAGUCUGAAGUCAGGUCCACAAGACCACAACUGAGGCACACAAUGAUGGUGCUGGUAAAAAGUGCUCAAUAUGCACCACCAUCCAUGGUAUACAAGCGUUGUUACCAUUUUUGCGCUUAGAUAUUCACCCUUCAACUUGGGAACAAAAAGAUGACAAGAGACAGUCAUGAAGUGCGAAGAAGUCACCCCAGUUGUCUAACAUGCACCAUAGAGAAUCUAAGAUAAAAUAGUACCCUGGAUUCACUUACAUACCUCACCUAGGCAUUGCUUAUACUUGCAGUACUCCUACUACUAGGUGAAGCAAACAGAUUCCGCAAGUUAGGAUUCCCAGUACACAAUCACCAUCUAAAAAGGAAGAGAAGGAACGAAAAAAAAAAGCAAUCUCCAUACUUUCAGUUUUACCUCCAAAUGAAAAUACCACUAAAUCUCAAAAGAACUCCGUUGACCAUUGUGGAAAAAGAAGAAGUUAAUCACGGUCCUGUAGGUGUUACCAUGUAAAUAAAAGGACACGUUCGGACUUAAAGCUUGCAUAGACUAAAAGAAUUAAAUGAUUCAGGCACACUUUACCAACCAAUUUUAGCAGUGAGGUUCACUGAACUGGCCAACUUAUUCGGGUCUGUUUAUGCAACAAAACAGGUGUAAAAGAUAACUUUUAAAC